CAAGUCGUGGGGCAGCAGGGGUAGCAAUACCCGCUGGCGACCGGCAAACGGGUGCGGAACACGUACGCAACCUUCCUUUAACUGGAGAAUAGCCCCUCGAAAGAGGGAUUAAUACUCCGUAACAUAUUGAUAAGGCAUCUUAUUAAUAUUAUAGCUCCGGCGGUUAAAGAUGGGCGUGCGCCUGAUUAGAUAGUUGGCGGGGUAACGGCCCACCAAGUCUGCGAUCAGUAACUGGUGUGAGAGCACGACCAGUCACACGGGCACUGAGACACGGGCCCGACUCCUACGGGAGGCAGCAGUAAGGAAUAUUGGUCAAUGGACGCAAGUCUGAACCAGCCAUGCCGCGUGGAGGAUUAAGGCCCUCUGGGUUGUAAGCUCCUUUUAUCUGGGAAGAAAUGCAUUUUUUCUAAAGUGCUUGACGGUACCAGAGGAAUAAGCACCGGCUAACUCCGUGCCAGCAGCCGCGGUAAUACGGAGGGUGCAAGCGUUAUCCGGAUUCACUGGGUUUAAA
rnacentral:rRNA from 1 species